GGGGAUUUAGCUCAGUGGUAGAGCACUUGCCUAACAAGUGCAAGGCCCUGGGUUCAGUCCCCA
rnacentral:tRNA from 1 species